CGCGGCCUAUCAGCUUGUUGGUGAGGUAACGGCUCACCAAGGCAUCGACGGAUAGCUGGUCUGAGAGGACGAUCAGCCACACUGGGACUGAGACACGGCCCAGACUCCUACGGGAGGCAGCAGUAGGGAAUCUUGCGCAAUGGACGAAAGCCUGACGCAGCAACGCCGCGUGGGGGAAGAAGGCUCUAGGGUCGUAAACCCCUUUCAGCAGGGACGAAAAUGACGGUACCUGCAGAAGAAGCGCCGGCCAACUACGUGCCAGCAGCCGCGGUAAUACGUAGGGCGCAAGCGUUGUCCGGAUUUAUUGGGCGUAAAGGGCUCGUAGGCGGUUUGGUAAGUCGGGUGUGAAAACUCAGGGCUCAACUCUGAGACGCCAUCUGAUACUGCAGUGACUAGAGUCCGGUAGAGGAAGAUGGAAUUCCUGGUGUAGCGGUGGAAUGCGCAGAUAUCAGGAGGAACACCAAUGGCGAAGGCAGUCUUCUGGGCCGGUACUGACGCUGAGGAGCGAAAGCAUGGGGAGCAAACAGGAUUAGAUACCCUGGUAGUCCAUGCCGUAAACGUUGGGCACUAGGUGUGGGGUCUUCUAACGGAUUCCGUGCCGUAGCUAACGCAUUAAGUGCCCCGCCUGGGGAGUACGG
rnacentral:rRNA from 1 species